UCUUGUGUCUGCAGCUCUGGCAGAGGACUGUUCCACUAGACACGUUGAAGGGACUGGGUACGUGUUUUCCUUCAGGACCAGAGCUGAGAGGAGCCGGGAUCGCGGCGGCAAUGGAACGGGCCUCAGAAAGGCGCACGGCCAGCGCGCUUUUUGCGGGGUUCCGGGCCUUGGGACUUUUCAGCAACGACAUUCCACACGUGGUGCGGUUCAGCGCGCUCAAGCGCCGGUUCUAUGUAACAACCUGCGUGGGCAAGAGUUUCCACACCUAUGACGUUCAGAAACUUAGUCUGGUUGCAGUAAGUAAGUAUGGACUUUAUUCUGAAUUUAUGCACAUCUAAACAUUUUUUUUUUAUUUUCACAUAAAUUUGAGACUUACAGAGCAUAUAAGGAAGCGAGGGUAACAUGUAUGUCUCAUAAACUUACAUUAUCAGCAACAAAAAAGGGUGCCAGGAUAGAAUCAUGUUUUGCUUUUAGUUGUUAUGUAUCUUUAUUUUCUUUAAUCUGGAACUGUUCUUUAGACUUUCUUUGUGCUUCAUGACAUUGACACAUUGACAUUUUUGAAGAG
rnacentral:sRNA from 1 species